rnacentral:rRNA from 1 species
AAUCUUCCGCAAUGGACGCAAGGCUGACGGAGCAACGCCGCGUGAGUGAUGAAGGUUUUCGGAUCAUAAAACACUGUUGAUAGGGACAAAAACGUAUCGGAGACACUGCCGGUAUCCUGACGGUACCUGACGAGACAGCCACGGCUAACCACGUGUCAGCAUCCGCGGUAAUACGUAGGUGGCAAGCAUUGUCCGGAUUUAUUGGGCGUAAAGCGCGCGCAGGCGGUCUUUUAAAUCUGAUGUGAAAUCUUGCAGCUUAACUGUAAGCGGUCAUUGGAAACUGGGAGACUUGAGUGCAGAAGAGGAGAGUGGAAUUCCAUGUGUAGCGGUGAAAUGCGUAGAGAUAUGGAGGAACACCAGUGGCGAAGACGACUCUCUGGUCUGUAACUGACGCUGAGGCGCGAAAGCGUGGGGAUCAAACA